rnacentral:lncRNA from 1 species
GGUUCACACGAGUAAUUCUAAUCAAUAAAACCCGAAUUACUCAGGAACCCCAGCUACAAGGAAGUGCUUCUUCUUGUUGUAUUAUGACUUUUAACUUUUUAUUAUUGUGAAAAUUUCAAACCAUACUAAAGUUGAAAGAGUGAGAUAAUGCACAUCUAUAUAGUCCUCAAUUAGAGUCACUGAUAAUGCCAGUUGAAAGGACACUAAUGAUGAGACUGAGUUAGGAUGCCAGAGGAGAGUUUAUGAGACAUCAAGGGAAUUGAAGCAGCACUGGCAGGGAGUGUCUCAGACUAUGAUAAGGAUCUGACAAGGUCUCAGCCGACCUAACACAGAGCUCCAGAGCAAAGAUUUCCCACUGCACAGCUGGUAUCACGCACUGAUCAGUCACUGGCUGGGCACUGCUGGGGAAGAGUGUUGCCUCAGCUCAAAAGCAGAAUCGGAUCCUGAAGGACCUAAUGACUAGAAACUUCCAGCUGACUACACUCUGCAACUGACUGAUUUGAACGUCUAUAGAAUAUUACAUCUCUUUGACCUGAAGGACUUGCUUUAGCAUUUCUUGUACUACAAGUCUGAUGGAGAUGGCACAUUGCAUAAAGAAACGCGAACCCAGCAGCACUCCUGCCAGCGGCAAUUCUGAGUGCUCAUUUCCACUUUGCCAAGACAUUACAUGGGAAGGCAUGUGCGUUUAAGGGCAUCCAAUUGUUUCUGUAUCAGAACAGCAGCAACAUCCCGGGCAGGCCUUUCCUCUGGAGUUCACGUGUAGGUCGUACUGACACACAACAUGGCCUAAAUGGACCAUGGAGGAGGAAGGGACCCCAAAUCCAGGCCAAAUGGGAGCAGGGUUGUCCUCAGGAGGACCCCAGCUAGAAGACUUUCUCUGGAACCCACGGUGCCUCUCACUAAAGUGCCCCAACGUUGGCACAACACCUACCGAAUUGUUGUUGCUGACUCUCUAUGCCCAUGAUUCAACCAGAACAACAUUGAUUCGUUAAAAGGUGCAUGAAUAAACUUGACUCUGGAAACAACAACA